rfam:TPA: Bos taurus chromosome 2, whole genome shotgun sequence.
UCCCUGGUGGCUCAGAUGGUAAAGAAUCUGCCUGUAAUGCAGGAGACCCAGGUUUGAUCCCUGGGUUGGGAA